rnacentral:rRNA from 1 species
AGCAGCCGCGGUAAUUCCAGCUCCAAUAGCGUAUAUUAAAGUUGUUGCAGUUAAAAAGCUCGUAGUUGAAUUUCGGGACCAAUCUGCCGGUCGUGCCUCCGGUACGCACUGGUUUUAUUGGUUUCUCCCUUCUGACGAACCAUGAUGUCAUUAAUUUGGUGUUAUGGGGAGUUAGGACUGUUACUUUGAAAAAAAUUUAGAGUGUUUAAAGCAGGCAUUAGCUUGAAUACAUUAGCAUGGAAUAAUGAAAUAGGACGUUUGAUCCUAUUUUGUUGGUUUCUAGGAUCGACGUAAUGAUUAAUAGGGAUAGUUGGGGGGCAUUAGUAUUCAAUUGUCAGAGGUGAAAUUCUUGGAUUUAUUGAAGACUAACUACUGCGAAAGCAUUUGCCAAGGAUGUUUUCAUUAAUCAAGAACGAAAGUUAGGGGAUCGAAGACGAUCAGAUACCGUCGUAGUCUUAACCAUAAACUAUGCCGACUAGGGAUCGGAUGAUGUUAAUUUUUUAAUGACUCAUUCGGCGCC